GUGAACGCUGGCGGUAGGCCUAACACAUGCAAGUCGAACGGCAGCACAGAGGAGCUUGCUCCUUGGGUGGCGAGUGGCGGACGGGUGAGGAAUACAUCGGAAUCUACUCUUUCGUGGGGGAUAACGUAGGGAAACUUACGCUAAUACCGCAUACGACCUUCGGGUGAAAGCAGGGGAUCGCAAGACCUUGCGCGAUUGAAUGAGCCGAUGUCGGAUUAGCUAGUUGGCGGGGUAAAGGCCCACCAAGGCGACGAUCCGUAGCUGGUCUGAGAGGAUGAUCAGCCACACUGGAACUGAGACACGGUCCAGACUCCUACGGGAGGCAGCAGUGGGGAAUAUUGGACAAUGGGCGCAAGCCUGAUCCAGCCAUACCGCGUGGGUGAAGAAGGCCUUCGGGUUGUAAAGCCCUUUUGUUGGGAAAGAAAAGCACACGGUUAAUACCCGAGUGUUCUGACGGUACCCAAAGAAUAAGCACCGGCUAACUACGUGCCAGCCGCCGCAGUAAGAC
rnacentral:rRNA from 1 species